GUUAUGGAAGAUUUGUUUGCUAUUUUUGGCAUGGGCACUUAGGUUAGAAAAGGAGACUUCCAUUCAUCAUUGCAACACACUAUUAACAUCAACAUCUUCCAUAUUCUUUCUUAAGUGUUCUUUCCCUAUUCAUGGCUUGCUAAACACUUAGUUUCACAAAAUAAGGCAAUCACUUGCUAAAAUGAGAACAACUAGGCGAUUGACUUGAAAAUGUUUAGAUGAUUUUAACUUGAGGUGAACAGGAAAGCCACUACGGGAACUCGCAAGGAGUAGCCGUAGAUAGCCCCCGACAUUCAGCUGUUUACUCUUUGCAUUGUGAAAUGGCCGUGGAUAGCCCCCUACAUUCAGCUGUUUACUCUUCGCAUUGUGAAAUGGUCGUGGAUAGCCUCCAUCGAUUGCAUCAAAUUGCAUGGCAGAUUGUUGACAAUUGCAUGACAAUUAAAUGGCAGCCAUUAAUAUUGACUAACAAUGUAAUAAAUAGGAGGAG